GCAAGUCGAACGAAGUAGCAAUACUUAGUGGCAGACGGGUGAGUAACAUGUAGGUAUCUGCCCUUUGGCCUGGAAUAACACGAGGAAACUUGUGCUAAUACCGGAUAAGUCUUUACGGAGAAAGCUUUAUGCACCAUUGGAUGAGCCUGCACUUGAUUAGUUUGUUGGUAGGGUAAUGGCCUACCAAGACUGUGAUCAAUAGCUGAUUUGAGAGGAUGAUCAGCCACAUUGGGACUGAGACACGGCCCAAGCUCCUACGGGAGGCAGCAGUGGGGAAUCUUGCACAAUGGAGGAAACUCUGAUGCAGCGAUGCCGCGUGAGUGAAGAAGGCCCUUGGGUUGUAAAGCUCUUUCGUCGGGGAAGAAAAUGACUGUACCCGAAUAAGAAGGUCCGGCUAACUUCGUGCCAGCAGCCGCGGUAAUACGAAGGGACCUAGCGUAGUUCGGAAUUACUGGGCUUAAAGAGUUCGUAGGUGGUUGAAAAAGUUGGUGGUGAAAUCCCAGAGCUUAACCCUGGAACUGCCAUCAAAACUUUUCAGCUAGAGUUUGAUAGAGGAAAGCAGAAUUUCUAGUGUAGAGGUGAAAUUCGUAGAUAUUAGAAAGAAUACCAAUUGCGAAGGCAGCUUUCUGGAUCAUUACUGACACUGAGGAACGAAAGCAUGGGUAGCGAAGAGGAUUAGAUACCCUCGUAGUCCAUGCCGUAAACGAUGUGUGUUAGACGUUGGAAAUUUAUUUUCAGUGUCGCAGCGAAAGCAAUAAACACACCGCCUGGGGAGUACGACCGCAAGGUUAAAACUCAAAUGAAUUGACGGGGACCCGCACAAGUAGUGGAGCAUGUGGU
rnacentral:rRNA from 1 species